CCUACGGGAGGCAGCAGUGGGGAAUAUUGGACAAUGGGGGAAACCCUGAUCCAGCCAUGCCGCGUGUGUGAAGAAGGUCUUCGGAUUGUAAAGCACUUUAAGUUGGGAGGAAGGGUUGAUGCCUAAUACGCGUCAGUCUUGACGUUACCGACAGAAUAAGCACCGGCUAACUCUGUGCCAGCAGCCGCGGUAAU
rnacentral:rRNA from 1 species